rnacentral:ncRNA from 1 species
UGAUUUGGAAUGAACCAUGCUUGUAGGGUGAUCAGAAUAAAAACAGGUAUAACUCCCUUAAUACCGAAAUAACACGGUCAGGAAAGCGGUGCCAUAAUCCGUGCCGCCUUACCAACCUCAGUAAAAAGUAUAAGUUUUCUUAUUUCACAACUCAUUGGGCAAUAGCACAGCAUUCCCUAUCGAAAUGCAGAUUAAAUAUGUCAUUAUCACAAGCGAAUGGGAGGUGUUUCACGAAAACUGAGAAACGCGAAUUUCUGCCUGAUAAACAUCGGAAUACGUACUAUUGGCACCUAAUUUCGAAGAGGUAAAUCCCUACUUUUCAUGACAUAAAUAAAGAACAAAACGCCGAACCAUCAGUAUGACGGCACAGCGUUUUGUGUUACUGCUUAGAUGCAGAUUAAUGCAGUAGCGAAUGGUUUUAAUUC